CUCACUGUAGCCACAGAAAGUGUAAUAGGGAAUAGAAAGAGAUCGUGAAUCGUGAAUACCGUUCUGCCCUUUUCUAUCAUUUUUCUAUUGGUUGAAAAUUUUCUGGUUGGAAGGAGUUCAUGACUGUAAUAUACAAAAUAAGAACCAUGCGAAAGAUUAAUCUACGACAUCCAGAGUAUACGUUACAGUCAAACUACAAUUCUGGUGAUCAGUUUAUCAUAAUUGAGUAUUAUUUAAAAAAUUAUGAUUCGUUGUAUUAAGUGUGGGCCACCGCGAGACCUAUAUUUUGAGCCCAAUAUGAUAAGCUUUCACAACUAAGUAAAAUAAAAAAAUAAAUUUUACGGUUAGCAUAAGAUUAAAUCAAUUUUUAAACUUAUAAAACAUAUGCAUAAAGUUCAUCAUGAUACAUUUUACUCCGCGGGGUUCCCUUAUUCCUAACUCCGUUCCUGCCCAAGAGAACGUCAGAACGGUAUUCACGAUUCGCUCUCUCUUUCCAUUCCCUAUUACACUUUCUGCGGCUAUAGUGAACAGUCCAGGUUCUAUAUGUCGAUGGUGAGAUCAGAUUCGCCCGGGAGGGGAAAACAGCGACAGAAACCGACAGAUGCUGAAAUAAAGCAAUAGAAUGAGAUACCGGAUAACAGUAUCUCUCCCUCAGUGGGUGUGCUCACUCUCUAGUGCGUGCGUGGGUGCAUAUUAUUACGAUACGAGUCCGUCUUUGACUUCUUGGUUAGGGUCUCCGGGGUCUCCCAACUAACAACCCACCAUAGAAUACCACGGGCCAUUCUCCCUCUCUGCUACUCAUCCAUACACAUGACCAGCAGACCCCUUCGAUACUCUACGGGAAUCUACCAGUGCACAUAUUUCCAUCAUGCAGGGUUGAAAUAGAGUUAACCAAUCAAGUUAGUUUAUUCCGCUCAAAUCUCAUUUUUAAUUGGUCAACUCUGUUUCAACCCUAUACGGUGGAAACAUAUGCAGUGUCUAUCCAGUACCAGUAUGCAGCGUGGGUUGGCAUUCCAUUCAUUUGUUUCAUUGAAAAAUUUCACGUUUAAUCACCCGUACGUUCACGGCUUUUAUCGCACGAGAUCGUCGUCAUCAUCAGGAUCGAUCGAGACGUACACGUCUUUCAAAAGAGAAAAGCGCUCUACUCGACGCCCAGUCGUAACCAUUCGUACCUUUUUCUAUCUAUAACAUACUCUAUAUAUACAUAUAUACCAAUGCCAUUCGUUUCUGCCUCGCAGCGGACAUCCUGGUCACGAGUCUCUCGCUGCGAUGAAAAUUUUCAGAAAAACGUUCCCUUUUCCCUUCUUUCUCUUUCAGACACCCUCUUCCGGUUACUCUUUCACUCUCUCACAGUCGUGUGUGAAUUUUGGACGGUGCACGUGGGAGACUGGAAGAAACCGAUUAUCCGGCAAGCCUUGCCAGAUGUAUUCUUCGUUCGCGUUACGUAUGUGUACCGGAAGCAAUACCCAGGAUGACGGUAUAGACCGGAGGACGUAUGUGGAUGUAUAGAGUACACCAGCAUACGUGUGAUUACCACGAAAGGCGGCUCCAGGUUGACAGGAAAUGGUUCGAGAUAAGAUAAUGAUGUCCCUCGCCUCUCUUGCAUCCGGCAUCUUUCUUUGUGCCUUUGGACUAUUAUAAAGGCUCCUUUGUACAUCACUUAAAACAGAAGAAAACCAGGUAAACAUAAAAAAUGCAUCUGAUGUUCAAAAUACUGUCUGGAUCCAAGAAUACGUGAUUCUACCAAACGUCGUAUACUCUGUGGAUAUUUAAAAUCAACAAAGGCACAUGUAACUCUGAUGUUACAUAAAUACCUUUGACCUUUUUCGUGUAUCUAAUAUACAGCGAUAACAGUAGGGCCAACAUCGAUCUUCCUCCAAAAAAAGUUGCGCAGUAAAAAUAAUACGCCCGUUGCCUGUAGGCACGGUUACCUCAGAGAAUCAAUGAUCGAAGAACAAUACCGUCACGUUGCAUCGUGAAUCGCAUCGCAAUGUUGCGAGGCAUACGAGUCCAUUGAAUUUCUAUUACUUUGUAAGCGUAACCAUACAUCGUACGAGGUUCACGUGCGGGAGUGAACGUCGCAUGUACCUUCCGAGAGAAAGAAAAAGGGGAAUACCAAAUAAAUAUAAUGCAGAGUUCUCCAUGACAUUUUUUCUCCAAUCGUACUGCAAAUUGAUUGUGAUUUGAAACAUCCAGCUUAACGUUAUAUCAGCUCGUGAGAAAGUUAUAUUGGAGUAGUAUAAGAAAAAAAAAAAGCAGAGAGAAAAAUAAAGGACUAGAUUGGCAUAAAAACGA